AUGAUUGUAACGGAUCACGGGGAAUUAGGGUUUGAUUCCGGAGAGGAAGCUUGAGAAUUGGCUACCAUUUCUAAGGAAGGCAGCAGGUGCGCAAAUUACCCAAUCUCAAUUCGAGGAGGUAGUGACAAGAAAUACUAGAAUAGUUAUCCCUUAGAUGACUAUUUUUCGGAAUGAGAACAAUUUAAAAACAUUAACGAGUAACAACUAGAGGGCAAGUCUGGUGCCAGCAGCCGCGGUAAUUCCAGCUCUAGUAGUGUAUAUUAAAGUUGUUGUGGUUAAAAGCUCGUAUUUGAACGUUACAUUUACCUUUGGGUCCUCAUAUUAUUUGAGCAUACUUAAAAGGCGAAUGGAGAUAUUUGGCUUGUAACUUGUUACUUGCUAAAUCCUUACUUUGAUAAAAAUUGGCGGAUCAAACAAGACUUUAGUCUGAAAAAUUUUGCAUGGGAUAAGAAAAUAUGGUCAAUUUGUUUCAUUUAUAGCUUAUUGAGACGUGACAAUGAUAAAAAGGGACAGUUGGGGUCACUCAUAUUUAAGCGGGAGGGGUGAAAUCCUAAGAUCGUUUAAAGAUGAACUAAAGCGAAAGCAUUUGACAAAUAUGUUUUCAUUGAUCAAGAACGAAAGUUGGGGGAGCGAAGAUGAUCAGAUACCGUUGUAGUCCUUUACCGUAAACUAUGUCAACUUAGGAUAAAAUUCCGUUACAUGGAUGACUUCUUUUGCACUAUAUGAGAAAUCAAAGUAUUCAGACUCCAGGGGGAAGUAUGGUCGCAAGGCUGAAACUUAAAGGAAUUGACGGAAGAGCACCACCAGGAGUGGAAUAUGCGGCUUAAUUCGACCCAACUCGGGAAAACUUACCAGGUCCGGACACUUGCAGGAUUGACAGAUUGAGAGCUCUUUCAUAAUUAUGUGAAUAGUGGUGCAUGGCCGAAUUUAGUUCGUGGAGUGAUCUGUCAGGUUAAUUCCCUAAACGAACGAGACCCCAGCCAAUUAAAUAGAUAAUCGAAUAAAUGGGGCUGUUAUAGGAAGGAAACUUCUUUAUACACCUAUUAUCUUUCGGUAAUACUUCUUAGAGGGACUCAGGUGGUUCAAGCCAAAGGGGAGCUUGGGGCCAAUUCAGGUCUGUGAUGCCCUUUGAUGUUCUGGGAUGCACGCGUAUUACAAUGUAUGGUACACUAAGUAUUUAUACUUUUUAGAGAUGAUUAUUGUUAAUCUCCAAUACCAUACGUGUUUGGGAUAGAGCCUUGUAAUUAUUGCUCUUGAACCAGGAAUUCCUAGUAAGUAUGAAUCAUCAAUUCAUGCUGAUUACGUCCCUGCUCUUUGUACACACCGCCCGUCGCUGCUACCGAUUGAAUAACACGAUGAGGACUUGGGAUAGACGAAUUUAUCUAAAUGAGUUUAAAACUUGUUCAAAUUUUAUUAUUUAGAGGAAGCAGAAGUCGUAACAAGGUA
rnacentral:rRNA from 1 species